rnacentral:lncRNA from 1 species
GAGAGAGGAAGAGGAAGAGAGGAAGGAGGAGAGAGAGAGGGAGAGGGAGAGAGAGAGAGGAAGAGGAAGAGAGAGAGGAAGAGAGGAAGAGGGAGAGAGAGAGGAAGAGGAAGAGAGAGAGAGAGAGAGAGAGAGAGAGAGAGAGAGAGAGAGAGAGAGAGAGAGAGAGAAAGAGAGAGAGAGUGUACUUUCAAAACAAGCUGAUACCUUGACAGGUUGGUCCAUAGGUGAUUACAGACAAUCAGGCUAUCAGAUUGCCCAAUCUGCAAUGGGUAAUUUCCAAAGGAGACAAGAUGAGUGCAGCUUCUACUGAUUCGGCCUGGGGAAGAGUUUUGCAUCAGCUCACUUGAAAAAAGCUGCUGUCUAUGGCUCACCAGGGUCCCACUCCUAAUGAGGUGGUGGCUCUUGCUGAAAGAGGAGUUUGGCUUUGGUGACUCACUUGGGUUGAAGAGAUUUUGUUGGACUUCCUCCUGGAGAUUGGAACCUGUAGGCUGCAACUCUCCCACUCUGCUGACCGGAGAUUGGAACUUUGUUGAUGGAACAAGCUAGAUUUCUUCAGAGCCAACUUAAGAGUGAGACUAAGGAGGUAUGACAAGGAAGGAGGAGGAGGAGGCCUCCGUGUUAGGCAAUCUGCCCAGGUAAUAUUUAAUACAAAUGUUAUACACCUAUACGUGCAUGCAUACAUAUGAGCUGAAAUAAUGGUAGAGUUUUGGGGGAUGGGAUUGGAUGUGUAAUUAGGCCAGUAACAGAAGAUUUCACAUUUUGGGAAGCCACACACACACACACACACACACACACACACAGAUAUAAAUAUAAGUUUAUUUAAUUAUGAACAAGGGAAAGGUAAGAAGGGAUUUGGAUAACUUAAGCUAAUGCUAUCUAUCUAAACCCUACAAGAUCUAAAUGUUCUGUCAUCAGGAGUCCUCUUGGAUCUAACUAUUCUGAACUCACUUAUUUGUCUAGAGACCCAGACCCUACUAUAAAUAUCCUACACUAACCCCCCCCCCCUUUUGGUGGCAAUGGAGGUAGUUAGGCAGGAUAGGGUCCAAGAAGAGCUUUUGGAUCCAAAGGACCCAAACCAAAUUCUCACAGAUGUCUCAAAUGUUCAGGA